rnacentral:rRNA from 1 species
AUACGUAGGGUGCGAGCGUUGUCCGGAAUUACUGGGCGUAAAGAGCUCGUAGGUGGUUUGUCGCGUCGUCUGUGAAAUUCCGGGGCUUAACUCCGGGCGUGCAGGCGAUACGGGCAUAACUUGAGUACUGUAGGGGAGACUGGAAUUCCUGGUGUAGCGGUGAAAUGCGCAGAUAUCAGGAGGAACACCGGUGGCGAAGGCGGGUCUCUGGGCAGUAACUGACGCUGAGGAGCGAAAGCAUGGGUAGCGAACAGGAUUAGAUACCCUGGUAGUCUAUGCCGUAAACGGUGGGCGCUAGGUGUAGGGGUCUUCCACGACUUCUGUGCCGUAGCUAACGCAUUAAGCGCCCCGCCUGGGGAGUACGGCCGCAAGGCUAAAACUCAAAUGAAUUGACGGGG